CUUAAGCAUGCAAGUCGAGCGGUAAGUCGGGAGCUUGCUCCUGACCUAGAGCGGCGGACUGGUGAGUAACGCGUGGGUGACGUACCUUUGUGAUGGGGACAGCUCCUAGAAAUAGGAGAUAAUACCGAAUACGCUGUAUGCUGUCAGAGGGCAUACAGGAAAGGUUCUUUUGAACCGCACAGAGAGCGGCCCGCGUACUAUUAGCUAGUUGGUGAGGUAACGGCCCACCAAGGCGACGAUAGUUACCCGGCCUAAGAGGGUGAUCGGGCACAUUGGGACUGAGAUACGGCCCAGACUCCUACGGGAGGCAGCAGCUAAGAAUAUUCCGCAAUGGACGAAAGUCUGACGGAGCGACGCCGCGUGGAUGAUGAAGGCCGGAAGGUUGUAAAAUCCUUUUAUGACUGAGGAAUAAGGAAGGUGAGAGAAACGCUUUCCGGUGACUGUAGGUCAUGAAUAAGCAACGGCUAAUUACGUGCC
rnacentral:rRNA from 1 species